GCUUUGCCAUCACAGAAAUCAAAUCUGAUUUCGUACCACAAAUGAAACAGGUGGUCUUCAGUAUCUCCUCUUCUUUGUUUUUCACUACGCAGGUCAGCAAAGGUGUCAAUAAUCACACCAAAAAUCAAGUUGAGAACAAUGAUGAUGACUAUGAAGUAGAAGACAAGGUCGUACACCACACGAGCAGGGAACAAAGGCUCCUGUUGUAGGUCUCCAUACAUUUUUAGAGGGUCUGCGCAGGACAUCUCCUACACCUCCUCCGUUCCUCAGCCCAUGAUUCAGCACCGUAACGAUGCACAUUAGAAGAGUGUCACAUGCUCUCUCUGUGUUGUCCUCUUCUUCUACAAAGAGACAUGCUCUCUCUGUGUUGUCCUCUUCUUCUACAAAGAGAUUAAAAAAAAUUCACAGCUGAGUUCUGAUGCCAAUACAAUAAUACUAAACAUUUUUUAAAUGCUAAACUCACCCUCUGAUGGUGCAACCAACCCAGUUUCCUCUGUGCACUUCACUCCAUCUGCACUGCACCUGCUUAUAGAGUUAUCUGUACCUGCUUACAGGACAAGAAACACCUGUCAAAUUGGCAUCAGUGAAUAAUAAAUGGUAUACUGUAAUUCAAAAUGAUCAUAAACGCUGGAUUUGAUGCCUUUCUGGAAAAAACUAUUCAGAUGGGGUUGUCAUACACCAGUAAAGAUGAACAGAGGUGCAUGCAAUUAACCUGUAUCUAGGCUAGCAAGCCGGUCGACUUCCAUAAUGAAGUCAUUCCUGAGGAAGAGAAAGCCCACGAUGGAGAACAGGUAGACCAGGAUGAUGGCCAAGACAGCAGUGAGGAGAAUAGAGCGGCCGUUACGUGUCACACUCUUGAUGACAUUAAAGAGCGUCUCCUCCCGGUAGAUCAGAUCAAACAGCUAAAGGAGGUAAAAGAGAAGUAAGAAAUUAUUAGCAGUUCCAUUAAAUUUGUGUAAAUUGCAUUUUUGCAAUAGUGCAUAUUUUAUGUAUUGAAAUUUCAAAGGAACAGCAUUUAUUUGAAAUGUUUGCAACAAUGUAACACUUUGAUCAAUUUAAUGCAUCAUUGCAGAAUUAAAGUGUUAAUUUCUUUUAAAAACGUUUUUUUUUUUAAAUGAAAACAAAACAAGUUUUAUCGGUAGGUAGUGAUUAUAUUUUUAACACCCACCAGUAUGCUGUAGAAGAGCUCGUGGACGAAUAGCCCCAGUGUGCUGGUUAACACAUAGGCCAAGUGGUACAGGAACUCCACAUCCAUCACCAUGGCUUUGUAGCCCAUGAUGAAGGUGCCGUUGUUCCCCACAAAGCUCACCACAAACACUAUCUUAUUGAUCAGCUGGUUAAAAAGAGAAAUUCUGAAUUAAGACCAUUUGCUUUUAUUUAAGCAAACAUACAGUAUUAUGGUAUGUAAGACUUACAUUGAGAGCCCCUAGCAGGAUGAGAGAUGGCCCAAUGCCAAAGUGAUAGAUGCAGCACAGGGUGAUGGCGACAGUGAGGGCCUGGAACCCAUAGCGCCUUGAUAACAGGCCCAAAACAGCCAGUCCAGCGAAACACCAGAACAGCAUAAGCAACAACGAAGCAUCUAUGCUACCUGGAAACACAAGAGACUGUUAAAACUACAUGGAAAAGCAAUUUAGAAAGCCAGCUGUUGGUCCAUAAUUGAGUGUUUUGAAAUUGAUGGUAAAUGUAGCAUUUCUUAAUAUAAUACAAUUAAUACACAUAAACAUACCAGAAUGGCCAGAGUCAUGUGGGUAGAACAAAGCGAUGAUAAGAUUGAUGAACACAGCCAGAUUGAAUGAUAUGGUGCCCCAGAGAGACAUUCGACGAGAGAACCAGUACAGGACCGGCAUGCCUAAAGCAUCACAAUAAACCUGUGUUAAGGACAUAUUUGUAAAUCACUAAGCCACAAAAUCCUAGGCCCAAUACUUACUUCGAAGUUUUUUCUGCCAUUCCAUUUCAUUGUGCAGGAAAGAUGUCUGCUCAAAGAAGUGUGUGACCUUGCUGCCCUGCUCGUCCUGCUCUGUGGUGGUAAACACACGGAACUUUGACUCCUCCAUUAGGAACUCACAGAUGGGGUGAACAGGAAACACUAUUUGCUCCAUGCUACGGUCCUCCCGCACAAUCUGCAUGUGACAUGCCCACAGAAAUUAUUUCACAACUUCUCAUAAUCACAAAUUAAUUUGAAUCACAUUAGCCACGAUGUACGGAGACAUUAGUAGACCAGAAAUUACUAUAACAGCAUAGAUUACAACACACAAAGAGAAAUUAUUAUUUAUUUAUUUUUUAUUACCUCAAUCUGAGCCGUUUGACGGUCAUAGUACUCUAACGGAUCCUCCUGUCCAUUAGGAACUCACAGAUGGGGUGAACAGGAAACACUAUUUGCUCCAUGCUACGGUCCUCCCGCACAAUCUGCAUGUGACAUGCCCACAGAAAUUAUUUCACAACUUCUCAUAAUCACAAAUUAAUUUGAAUCACAUUAGCCACGAUGUACGGAGACAUUAGUAGACCAGAAAUUACUAUAACAGCAUAGAUUACAACACACAAAGAGAAAUUAUUAUUUAUUUAUUUUUUAUUACCUCAAUCUGAGCCGUUUGACGGUCAUAGUACUCUAACGGAUCCUCCUGUUGCUCCUCCUGUUUUGUGUUCUUAUUUGCCUGUGAAGAUGAAUGACCAUGACUGGAUAGUGGCAGGAAUUUUAGUUAUGUCUGAGAAAUGAGUAAAUAGUUUGGUGAUAAUAGUAUGGCAAGCGAACUAUGAUUUUUACACAAAUGAUCCUGAGCUGAAGAAAACAUAGUUGUGAUUGACCUUCUGUAUCUAGGCUAGCAAGCCGGUCGACUUCCAUAAUGAAGUCAUUCCUGAGGAAGAGAAAGCCCACGAUGGAGAACAGGUAGACCAGGAUGAUGGCCAAAGACAGCAGUGAGGAGAAUAGAGCAGCCGUUACGUGUCACACUCUUGAUGACAUUAAAGAGCGUCUCCUCCCGGUAGAUCAGAUCAAACAGCUAAAGGAGGUAAAAGAGAAGUAAGAAAUUAUUAGCAGUUCCAUUAAAUUUGUGUAAAUUGCAUUUUUGCAAUAGUGCAUAUUUUAUGUAUUGAAAUUUCAAAGGAACAGCAUUUAUUUGAAAUGUUUGCAACAAUGUAACACUUUGAUCAAUUUAAUGCAUCAUUGCAGAAUUAAAGUAGUUAAUUUACUUUUUAAAAACGUUUUUUUUUUA
rnacentral:lncRNA from 1 species